rnacentral:rRNA from 1 species
UACAGAGGUCUCAAGCGUUGUUCGGAUUCAUUGGGCGUAAAGGGUGCGUAGGCGGCGCGGUAAGUCGGGUGUGAAAUCUUGGAGCUUAACUCCGAAACUGCAUUCGAUACUGCCGUGCUUGAGGACUGGAGAGGAGACUGGAAUUUACGGUGUAGCGGUGAAAUGCGUAGAUAUCGUAAGGAAGACCAGUGGCGAAGGCGGGUCUCUGGACAGUUCCUGACGCUGAGGCACGACGG